rnacentral:rRNA from 1 species
CAGUAGCCACGGUAAUACGUAGGUGGCUAGCGUUGUCCGGAAUUAUUGGGCGUAAAGGGCUCGCAGGCGGUUUCUUAAGUCUGAUGUGAAAGCCCCCGGCUCAACCGGGGAGGGUCAUUGGAAACUGGGAAACUUGAGUGCAGAAGAGGAGAGUGGAAUUCCACGUGUAGCGGUGAAAUGCGUAGAGAUGUGGAGGAACACCAGUGGCGAAGGCGACUCUCUGGUCUGUAACUGACGCUGAGGAGCGAAAGCGUGGGGAGCGAACAGGAUUAGAUACCCGUGUAGUCCCUGUCUCUUAUAC